AAACAAUGACAGUCCUCUUAAUGGCCAUGCAGCUGAACUAUGGGCUAACCAGGUAGCAUACAAGAAGCACCUCAUAGAACAUUACAAGAAGGCAAAUGGAGAACCAUAAUUAAGCUGGUCCCACUUCACAUGCAUAUCCUGUUGCAGCCACCAUAAAUGGAGGAAUUACACAUCCACGUCUGUACUGUAGUAGGUUCACUGGCCUUGUCCUGGCCUGGGUCUUUUCCAGAUGGUGACCUGGUGCAUCCACAUCUUAUUUGAAAAUUGACAUAUCCCUCACAAGUAUUCUACAGCAGAAUAACUACAGUAGUUUUUGUAAUUAUGUAAUAGUUUUGCUGAUCAUUGUGUGGCAUCUCCCAUAACCUUUGGAUUUUGUAUAUGGUACAACCUUUGGAUUUUGUAUAUGGUACAUCAUAGUGUACACUUUUGUAUUAGUCAAGCUAUGUAAAAGUUUUGCUUUGGGAUACUUCUUAUGAUGAUGUUGAAUUAAUCCAACAUUGUUUAUGCUGUUUUAGACCUCUUAUAUUGUCUUUAAUGAUAUUGCCCCACUCUCAUUUUACCUAAUAUAGUUUUUAGCAAAAUUCUUUUUAUCUUCACAUUUCAAGAAAGUGCUUUGCUACUGAUGAAUGCACUAUAUGCUUCAUUUACAGAAUGAUUUUUUAUAUUUUCAUUUUUCACUACUGUGUUGCAAGUACAGUAACAUAACUGAGUAAUACACUUGAUUUGUAAUGACCAUGUUUUUCUGGAAAGACAGAUGAAGAAUGGGUGGCGAUAAUUGUGUGUUGAAUAUUUGAGUCACCCGGUGUUGGUAGGAAAUUGAAAAUGGAUUAAAAAAAAAAAAAACAUGACUGAAACAUUUGUAUUCUUCCUUUAUGUACAAGUGAAAGACUUACUAUACACAUCAACUGGCUGUGAAAGUAUAGUAAAAUAAAGUGCUGUAUUUUAUUAUAUCCAAAAUAUUUGAUAUAGUGAAAAGAAAUUCACCUUGAGAUGUAAAAUUACUUAGUAGAUUGGUUAGAGCCGAAAUAUAAAAUAAGUGUAUUUAGAAGCAGUUAUCCUCAUACAUGAAGAUGGUACGUUGUAAAAAUAAUGGAAAUUUUUUUGUAAAUGAGAAUACUUGUUUGCAGUGUAAAAUUAAAAGUAUUAUUUUAAAAUGACUUUUACAGUUAAACUAGUGUUGGAUAUUUUAAAACUGCUACAUCAUCUUUUGAAUGUAGAUAUUAGCAUUUUCUUGCUCAGUAAGUCAACCCAAAAGGGUCAUACAGCAACUAAUUAUGUUUAGUGCUUAAUUUGAUUAUAUUAUUAUUAGGUGAUUUAGUGAUACCUACAGGAGGGGAGUAUUGAUGAGGAUGUAUUCCUCUUCUGAAGUAUUGGUUUGAAUGUCAUUCUAAAACAUAUUAAUGUAAUUAUCAGAGCAUUGUGCAAUAUGCGUGGUGAUAAAAAAAAUAAGUGAAUAGUAUGAAAAAGCUUUAAAAUUCUUUUGUAUUGAUGUUGAAGCUUGAUAUUUAGGGCAUUUGAAAUGCAAAAAAAAAAAAAAAAAAAAAAAAAAUGAAAA